rnacentral:lncRNA from 1 species
GGGAAGCAGAAAAAUACUUUGUAACUAUACUGUUUUUCCAGCCUGCUCUGAGCAGUUUCUCUUCAAGCCUACUCCUGCUUACAGGUGCCAAGAACCUCCUUGGGCUUCCUGGAUGUAUCUUGAAAGCUAGUGGAAAGAGGGUGCCCAUGGCUCCCUGUUGUCUGGUGGCUGUGAUAACACCAGAAAAAUUAAGUAUAUUCAGAAUUUCUGAAACGUUGCAUCCCGAGUAGGUCACUACAGCAUCAACAAUUCCCUCAUCAAAUUGUCUCCCUAGGGUAUAACAUCUUGUUUCAAGUCAAAGACCUCCAACUGACAAGGGCAGGCAGAUAUGCUACUCACAACCUACCGGUCACAUAAACCUACCAAGGAAGCAGAGAACUCAUUUCAUAUAAGUCCAACUCUGGAAAACAAGCCACUUUCAUAUGUCAUGGGAAACUAUGUCAGACAACAGAGCGAUCCUACAGUGUCCCACUAUAUCACCUGGUCCAAUUUGACCAGUUAUUGCCACAGGUUUGCAGAAACUGGCUCAGAGAUGGAAGCAUUGCAGUACAUUGCCUUGAAGGAGACAGUGGGCUGACAAUGCCCUGGAGCUGUGUAUCAGAGGUACCUUUAUCAGAUGAUCUUUCAGACAUUUACAAACAGUAAUUAAGUACUACACCACCCUUAUGAUGUAGGGGGUAAUUUCUCACCCCCCAUUUUACAAAGCAAGAAGCCAGAGCACACAUAACCUGUAAAAAGAACCUUCUGCUUUCAUAUCCCAGACUGGGGCUUUAAGCACUAGGCCGUGUUUCUUUUUCAUAGCCAGCGCCCUAAACUUACCCCCUGAAGAACACACUGAGCAUAAAGGGUCAAAUCUGGGAAUCACUGAGCAAGAACAGUGAGGGCUGCUUACAGCAGUAUUGCAUCUCAGGGAGUUUAAUGGAUAAAUCAUGGCCAUUUUCCCAGCUUCUCCUAGGGCUGGGAAUUAGAGCUGGAAGGAGGCUUGUAAAACUCUCAAGUACUUCCUUCAAGUCAAAACUGCCAUUCCCAUGUAUCUCAUCCUACCCCUUUCGAAGGGAUUAAAGCCAUGGAAGGAAACUCCCUUCUCCAAAGCCCUCUGUUCCCCUCGUAAUACUUACGAGAAGACAAAUAAAUCUGCCUAUCAGCAAAUCACUCAAGUAAAUUUAUUGUCACCAUGCAGUGACUUUGCCUGGC